rnacentral:piRNA from 1 species
UGCUACAACACUGGUGACAUCACAAAAGC